AACGAACGCUGGCGGCAUGCCUAACACAUGCAAGUCGAACGAAGGCUUCGGCCUUAGUGGCGCACGGGUGCGUAACGCGUGGGAAUCUGCCUUGGGGUUCGGAAUAACUCCCCGAAAGGGGUGCUAAUACCGGAUGAUGUCGAAAGACCAAAGAUUUACCGCCCUGAGAUGAGCCCGCGUAGGAUUAGGUAGUUGGUGUGGUAAAGGCGCACCAAGCCGACGAUCCUUAGCUGGUCUGAGAGGAUGAUCAGCCACACUGGGACUGAGACGCGGCCCAGACUCCUACGGGAGGCAGCAGUGGGGAAUAUUGGACAAUGGGCGAAAGCCUGAUCCAGCAAUGCCGCGUGAGUGAUGAAGGCCUUAGGGUUGUAAAGCUCUUUUACCCGGGAUGAUAAUGACAGUACCGGGAGAAUAAGCUCCGGCUAACUCCGUGCCAGCCGCCGCCGUAAGAC
rnacentral:rRNA from 1 species